rnacentral:rRNA from 1 species
UACGUAGGUGACAAGCGUUGUCCGGGUUUACUGGGCGUAAAGAGCGCGCAGGCGGUCGUUCAAGUCGAGUGUGAAAGCCCCCGGCUCAACUGGGGAGGGUCACUCGAUACUGAUCGACUCGAAGGCAGGAGAGGGUAGUGGAAUUCCCGGUGUAGUGGUGAAAUGCGUAGAUAUCGGGAGGAACACCAGUGGCGAAGGCGACUACCUGGCCUGUUCUUGACGCUGAGGCGCGAAAGCUAGGGGAGCAAACGGG